CAGCUCUCAGUGACACUGAGUCAGUGUUUGUUAAGAGAACAGAGGAACAUGGCUUCAUCCUUUCUCAGGGUCUCCCUGCUCUUCAUCAGCCUCUACACAGCAGAUGGAUUUCGGAGUUAUGGUCUGGACCGUUGUGUGUUUAACUCGUCUGAUCUGAAGGACAUCGAGUACAUCUACUCUCAAUAUUACAACAUGGAGGAGAUCGCCAGGUUCAGCAGCAGUUUGGGGAAGUAUGUCGGAUACACUGAGUACGGUCUGUACUGUGCUGAUUACUGGAACAAAGAUCCUUCAGAACUGGCUCAGAGGAGAGCUCAGAAGGAGACGUACUGCAAACACAACAUUGAUAUCUGGUACCCUCAUGCUCUGACUAAAUCAGCUGAGCCCUAUGUCAGACUGAGCUCUACGGAGCCCUCUGGUGGUAAACAUUCAGCCAUGUUGGUCUGCAGCGUCUACGACUUCUACCCCAAACAGAUCAGAGUCAAGUGGACCAGAGACGGACAGGAAGUCACCUCUGAUGUCACUUCCACUGAUGAGCUGGCAGACGGUGAUUGGUACUACCAGAUCCACUCUCACCUGGAGUACACGCCCAGGUCUGGAGAGAAGAUCUCCUGUAUGGUGGAACACGCCAGCCUGAAAGCUCCUCUGAUUACUGACUGGGAUCCGUCCAUGCCUGAGUCUGAGAAGAACAAGAUUGCCAUCGGAGCCUCAGGACUGAUCCUGGGUCUGGUCUUAUCUCUGGCUGGAUUCAUCUACUACAAGAGGAAGGCCCGAGGAAGGAUUCUGGUUCCCAGUAGCUGAUUCUGGACCUGGUUCUGGUCCUGUAGCUGUUUGUCAGAUGGAAUAAAAAGCAGCAGCUGCUUCAACCUGCUUCGUGUGUUUCAGCUCAGCAGACUGUCGGUCCUGGACCAUCUGCUGGGCCGACUCUACUCCUGAUUCUCUGAUGAUCUGGACUCUGAUACUCAGCUGGUCUGAACCUAAUCCAGGACUGUGGUGUUACUCUGAUGGUCCUGGACCAGGUCUAAACCUGAUCCAGGACUGUGGUGUUACUCUGAUGGUCCUGGACCAGGUCUGAACCUGAUCCAGGACUGUGGUGUUACUCUGAUGGUCCUGGACCAGGUCUGAACCUGAUCCAGGACUGUGGUGUUGCUCUGAUGGUCCUGGACCAGGUCUAAACCUGAUCCAGGACUGUGGUGUUGCUCUGAUGGUCCUGGACCAGGUCUGAACCUGAUCCAGGACUGUGGUGUUGCUCUGAUGGUCCUGGACCAGGUCUGAACCUGAUCCAGGACUGUGGUGUUGCUCUGAUGGUCCUGGACCAGGUCUGAACCUGAUCCAGGACUGUGGUGUUACUCUGAUGGUCCUGGACCAGGUCUGAACCUGAUCCAGGACUGUGGUGUUGCUCUGAUGGUCCUGGACCAGGUCUGAACCUGAUCCAGGACUGUGGUGUUGCUCUGAUGGUCCUGGACCAGGUCUGAACCUGAUCCAGGACUGUGGUGUUACUCUGAUGGUCCUGGACCUGGUCUGAACCUGAUCCAGGACUGUGGUGUUGCUCUGAUGGUCCUGGACCAGGUCUAAACCUGAUCCAGGACUGUGGUGUUACUCUGAUGGUCCUGGACCAGGUCUAGUCUGGACUCUGGUGUAUCCCAGCUGGAUCUGAACUCUGCUUCAUCUACAUGUGAUAUGAUUCUUUUCUGUGUGAAAUCAAUAUUUUUCAGCCACUUAUAUCCACAAACGUAAUAACUCUGGUCUUUAAAUCAGAUAUAAUCAGUUAUUUGAAUGAUUUGGGGGCUGGUAGGUUGUGUGAUUGUUAGAUUUAUAUAUUUCUACUGGAGUGGAACAUUUUCUAACCCUAAUAAACUGAUCAGAAAAC